rnacentral:rRNA from 1 species
UACGAAGGGGGCGAGCGUUGUUCGGAUUUACUGGGCGUAAAGGGCGCGCAGGCGGCUUUGUUUGUCAGGCGUGAAAGCCCCGGGCUUAACCUGGGAACUGCGUUUGAUACGGCAGGGCUAGAGUUCGGGAGAGGAGAGUGGAAUUCCCAGUGUAGAGGUGAAAUUCGUAGAUAUUGGGAAGAACACCGGUGGCGAAGGCGUCUCUCUGGACCGAUACUGACGCUGAGGCGCGAAAGCGUGGGGAGCAAACAGG